rnacentral:rRNA from 1 species
GACGAACGCUGGCGGCGUGCUUAACACAUGCAAGUCGAACGGAAAGGCCCUGCUUUUGUGGGGUGCUCGAGUGGCGAACGGGUGAGUAACACGUGAGUAACCUGCCCUUGACUUUGGGAUAACUUCAGGAAACUGGGGCUAAUACCGGAUAGGAGCUCCUGCUGCAUGGUGGGGGUUGGAAAGUUUCGGCGGUUGGGGAUGGACGCGCGGCUUAUCAGCUUGUUGGUGGGGUAGUGGCUUACCAAGGCUUUGACGGGUAGCCGGCCUGAGAGGGUGACCGGCCACAUUGGGACUGAGAUACGGCCCAGACGCCUACGGUGGGCAGCAGUGGGGAAUAUUGCACAAUGGUGGGAAGCCUGAUGCAGCAGCGCCGCGUGCGGGAUGACGGCCUUCGGGUUGUAAACCGCUUUCGCCUGUGACGAAGCGUGAGUGACGGUAAUGGGUAAAGAAGCACCGGCUAACUACGUG